GGUCUGGUGGUCUAGUGGUAUGAUUCUCGCUUAGGGUGCGAGAGGUCCCGGGUUCAAUCCCCGGCCAGACCC